AAGACUAUAGACCUGCGGAGUACCUGCGGAGGGAUCAUUAAAAAAUUGAGUUCAUACUCAAGACCCCUCUGUGUCACGACCCUAAUAUAAUUCAAUACUUCGGCAUUUGGUUGGUAAUCUCUCGGGAUUUUCACCGAUGCCAACAGUAUAUUCAAAUUUGAAACUCUUGAAACUACAUUCUGAACAAAUUCAUUGAAAUAAUGAAAAACUUUCAACAAUGGAUCUCUAGAUCGGAAGAGC
rnacentral:misc_RNA from 1 species